GUUGCUGAUGGUCUGAAGUAAUAAUAGGUGAGUCUUAGCUUAAAGCAAGCACUCAACAUGUUUCUUCUUUGUCCUCCAAGGAUCAUCAUGAACAGAGUGUUGGAGGGCAGAGAGGCUGGGGAAGGAGCGUGGAAGUUGUCAGAAGCAGAUCGUAUUGCAAACCAAAUAAAAAUCAAGGUCAAAUCCAUCUGAAAGCUGGAUUCACCUGACCCGUAACCUCGGUCUACGAGCCUCGGCCACUUUGCUGCCCUCACUGUUCCCCCUUGCAACUGAGGCACCGUGGGUUUCUUGAGAGCAAGAAACUGAGAGCAA
rnacentral:lncRNA from 1 species